rnacentral:rRNA from 1 species
CCCUUAGAUGUCCGGGGCCGCACGCGCGCUACACUGGUACGUUCAACAAGUUUACAACCUUGAUCGAUAGGUCUGGGUAAUCUUUUUAAUGCGUACCGUGCUAGGGAUAGAUUAUUGCAAUUAUUAAUCUUGAACGAGGAAUUCCUAGUAAACGCAAGUCAUCAGCUUGCAUUGAUUACGUCCCUGCCCUUUGUACACACCGCCCGUCGCACCUACUGAUUGAAUGACUCGGUGAAAAAUUGGGACUGUGAGAACAAUCGAUUCAGUUCGAAUGUACUCGUGGAAACUUUUUUUAACCUCGCCAUUUAGAAGAAGGUGAAGUCGUAACA